CGCUUGCGUGUGCAGACCUGUCAACGUUGGAGUGUAUCAUACUACAUAAAGCAGCCGUUUCCCUUCUAGUGAAGCUGAAUCCCAGUAGGGGACUGAUUGUUUCUCCUUAGGGCAGGCCGGCAGCUGUCAGUGUGUUAGGGGGGAGGUGGAGUGGUGCUGCUAUAAGGUCACCAUCCGUAGUCAGUGGGACUGUGAAGUAUAGUCUUAUGACUUUCACACUAUUAAAGUAUGGUGUCAUCAAGAGAAGGAGAACGUAUUAUCUGAGAGCUCCACCAGAGCAGAGAGCAGGAGAGCGAGAGAGAGGGGGAUAGAGAAAGAGAGACAGCGAGAGAGACAGACACAAAGAAAGAGAAAUAGGGGGAGAUAGAGAUAAAUGAAAAGGGCUGAUAGGAAGGUGACAGCAGCAUGGAUCUUUGAACUCCUAAAUCCUUUGAAAAACUCUCUUUAUCAAUCUGAACGUCGUCGCACCGAUACACUACGGAGCAGCCCGUGACCAAUCCCAGCCCUCGCAAUUUGCAUUGGUAAUGAGGAAGUUUUUUCAAGAGCGAAUUGGAACUUCAGUCAGAGAGUCACACCUCUCUGCAGCGUCAUCUUUUCGCGUCUCAGCCCACUGUCCAGUCCUGGACCAUGGGAAUACUCUCUCACAGCAAUCAGUCACUGGUGUGGACCACAGGACCAUGGACCACAGGUCUGCUCUAGUGCCCUCACCUGGCACCAUCCAGCCAUUGCACCUGCUCAUCAUUCUAACCUGAAACCCAGCAGGACAGAGAAAAGAAAAUGAUUAACAAUUAACAAGGUUGAUGGAAGAAGUUUGGUUCGAACAUUAGAGUAAUGGAGGAGGUUCCACACUUUUAUUUUCAUUGGAAAGCUGUGUUUCAGUUCUUCGUCAUCUGCUUGGCAAAAAUAUUAGUACAUUUACUUUCAAUUCUCUGUAAAUUGUCUGCAUCUAGCUAUCUAUUGAUUUGAUAGGAAAAACCUUGGCUUACCUCUUGUCACGCCCUGGCCUUAGUAUGUUGUGUUUUCUUUAUUAUUUUGGUCAGGCCAGGGUGUGACAUGGGUGAUUUGUGUGUCUUGCUUGUCUAGGGGUUUAUUCGAUUUAUGGGGUUGUGUUUAGUAGAGUUGUCUAGGAAAGUCUAUGGUUGCCUAGAGUGGUUCUCAAUCAGAGGCAGGUGUUUAUCGUUGUCUCUGAUUGGGAACCAUAUUUAGGCAGCCAUAUUCUUUGGAUAUUUCGUGGGUGAUUGUUUCCUGUCUUUGUGUUUGUUGCACCAGAUAGGGCUGUUUCGUUUUUUUGCGGUUCUUGUUUUGUAAAUUGUUCGUAUUUUCCAUCUUUCAUUAAAGAUGUAUAAAGAUAACCACGCUGCAUUUUGGUCCUCCUCUCUUUCACCAGAAGAAAACCGUAACAGAAUCACCCACCACAACAGGACCAAGUGGCGUGGUGACAGGCAGCGGCAGCAGGAGCAGUGAAGUCAGGACUAUACGACUUGGGAGGAAAUAGACAGGUGGACGGUCAACCCAGUGAGAGUGCCGGAGCCCGCCUGGGAUUCGCUGGAGCAGUGCGAGGAGGGUUAUAGGAGAAUGGAGUUGGAGAGACGAGCACGGCGGCGUGGAUAGAAGCCCGAGAGUCAGCCCCAAAAAUGUCACACAGGGAGUAUGGCGAAGCCAGGUAGGAGACCUGCGCCAACUUCCUGUGCUUACCGGGGGGCUAGAUAGACCGGGCAGGCACCGUGUUAUGCUGUGGAGUGCACGGUGUCUCCAGUGCGGGUGCAUAGCCAGCUCCUCGUAUCGGCCGGGCUAGAGUGGGCAUCGAGCCAAGUGUCAUGAAGCCGGCUCUAUGCAUCUGGUCUACAGUGCGUCUCCUUGGGCCGGCUUACAUGGCACCAGCCUUGCGCACGGUGUCCCCGGUUCGCCUGCAUAGCCCAGUGCAGGCUAUUCCACCUCGCCGCACUGGCAGGGCGACCGGGAGCAUUCAACCAGGUAAGGUUGGGCAGGCUCGGUGCUCAAGAGCUCCAGUGCGCCUGCACGGUCCGGUCUAUCCGGUACCACCUCUACGCAUCAGCCCUCCGGUGGCAGCUCCCCGCACUCGCCCAGAGGUGCGUGUCCUCUGCCCAGUACCACCAGUGCCGGCACCACGCACCAGACCUACAGUGCGCCUCGCCUGUCCAGCGCCGCCGGAGUCUCCCGCCUGUCCAGCGCCGCCGGAGUCUCCCUCCUCGCCAGCGCCGCCGGAGCCUCCCGCCUGUCCGGCGCCGCCGGAGUCUCCCGCCUGUCAGGCAGGAUCUGCCAGAGCCGCCUGUCAUCCAGGAUCUACCAGAGCCGCCAGUCAGCCAGACUCUGCCAGAGCCAUCAAACUGCCUGAGCUUCCCCUCAGUCCCUAGCUUCCCCUCAGUCCCAAGCUUCCCCUCAGUCCCGAGCUUCCCCUCAGUCCCGAGCUGCCCCUCAGUUCAGUGGGGCCCUUUGUAAGGGUUACUAGGCCAAGGUCGGCGGCGAGGGUCUCCAAUCUAAGGACGCUAAGGAGGUGGACAAAGACUAAGUUGGAGUGGGGUCCACGUCCCGCGCCAGAGCCACCACCGUGGAUAGACACCCACCCAGACCUCCCCUAUGGGUUUAGGUGUGCGGCCGGGAGUCCGCACCUUUGGGGGGGUAGUGUCACGCCCUGGCCUUAGUAUUUUGUGUUUUCUUUAUUAUUUUGGUCAGGCCAGGGUGUGACGGGUGAUUUAUGUGUCUUGUCUUGUCUAGGGUUUUUUAUAUUUAUGGGGUUGUGUUUAGUAGAGUUGUCUAGGAAAGUCUAUGGUUGCCUAGAGUGGUUCUCAAUCAGAGGCAGGUGUUUAUCAUUGUCUCUGAUUGGGAACCAUAUUUAGGCAGCCAUAUUCUUUGGGUAUUCCGUGGGUGAUUGUUUCCUGUCGUUGUGUUUGUUGCACCAUAUAGGGCUGUUUCGGUUUUUCACGGUUCUUGUUUUGUAAAUUGUUUGUAUUUUCCAUCUUUCAUUGAAGAUGUAUAAAGAUAACCAUGCUGCAUUUUGU
ensembl:lncRNA